GAUGAAGAACGUAGCGAAAUGCGAUACUUGGUGUGAAUUGCAGAAUCCCGUGAACCAUCGAGUCUUUGAACGCAAGUUGCGCCCGAAGCCAUUAGGCCGAGGGCACGCCUGCCUGGGCGUCACACGUCGUUGCCCCCCCAUCUACUCCUUCGGGAUUGCGGGGGGCGGAUGAUGGCCUCCCGUGCGCCUCGUCGCGCGGUUGGCAUAAAUGCCAAGUCCUCGGCGACGCACGCCACGACAAUCGGUGGUUGCGAAACCUCGGUUGCCCGUCGUGUGCGGUCGUCGCGCAUCGAGGGCUCGAAAAAAUUGACGGGCUCCGGCUCGGCUUUCAACGCGACCCCAGGUCAGGCGGGGUUACCCGCUGAAUUUAAGCAUAUCAAUAAGCGGAGGA
rnacentral:misc_RNA from 1 species